rnacentral:rRNA from 1 species
ACGGUUACCUUGUUACGACUUAGCCCCAGUCACCGGUUUUACCUUAGGGCGCUCCUUGCGGUUGCACACUUCAGGCACUCCCGGCUUCCAUGGCUUGACGGGCGGUGUGUACAAGGCCCGGGAACGUAUUCACCGCGCCGUGGCUGAUGCGCGAUUACUAGCGAAUCCAGCUUCAUGGAGUCGGGUUGCAGACUCCAAUCCGAACUGAGACAGGCUUUGAAGUUCCGCUCUGCGUCGCCGCAUCGCUUCUCUCUGUACCUGCCAUUGUAACACGUGUGUCGCCCCGGACGUAAGGGCCGUGCUGAUUUGACGUCAUCCCCGCCUUCCUCACAGCUUGCGCCGGCAGUCUCGCCAGAGUCCCCAACUUUACUUGCUGGUAACUGGCGAUGGGGGUUGCGCUCGUUAUGGCACUUAAGCCGACACCUCACGGCACGAGCUGACGACAACCAUGCAGCACCUCGACGGAUGCCCCGAAAGGCUGCCUUCUUUCAAAAACAUCCAUCCGUCGUUUGAGCCCGGGUAAGGUUCCUCGCGUAUCAUCGAAUUAAACCACAUGUUCCUCCGCUUGUGCGGGCCCCC